rnacentral:rRNA from 1 species
CAAUUACACGUGACGGCAAUAGUUCAAUACACAUUUGACAAGAUGAACGCGUACUUUCUAAAGUACUCGCUGGAAACGGUGCACAGAGGUGAGAACAAGCGCAAGUACAAGUACAAGUUCCCACCCAAGGUUGAUGAAUGGUUGGAAUUUCAAUCACGGAAGGCGGACUCACAGGAAGCUAUAAUAUAUGACAACGAAGAGUGGAAGUACGAAGUGAAAGAGCCAGGAGGAACCACAGAUGGCCGCCAACAUGGAGGUCGGGCUUUCAAGGUCUCGUUAACACGGUGUGAUUGCUCUUGCGGGAGGCCAUUGUUGCUUUAUAUCCCAUGCUCACACUUGUAUACCGCCGGUCGCGUUAGGAAUGUCGACGUCAAUCACCCCCUCACCGUGAGGGAGUCAGAGUUCUCAAUCAUGACGGUCAAGAAAAUAUGGGCUCCCCGCUUUCACCCAUACUUUGACCAAUCACAAUGGUCGGAGUACCAUGGAGUUCAACUAUGGCCGAAUCCGGAGUUGAAGGUUGUUAAACGGGGUAGACGUAAGACAAAGCGUCUUAGUGGCGACAUGGACGGAUGA